CUGCCCAUUGCCUGAGAGUAAAUCAGUAUGGAUGACUUCAGUUUUACCACUUAACGUCAUUUUUGAGAAAGAGGAAGGCACAAAUCAAGAAAUGGAAAAAACCUUUCACCCACACAGUAAAAUCUCCAGUGUUGAAAUCCCAGUGUUAAGGACUUUUAGAGUAAAGAGUUAAAGUUGUGGUGUUGAAUUUUAAAGGAUUAACACUAGCUAGUGUAAACAGCACCCUCUGGCCGGUGUUAAUACGGAGAAUUACCCUCAUUAACACUGUUGAGAGUUAUUAGUGACAUCCGGGACAUUUUCUCGUGUGCGCGCCUAAUCCGUCUGAAAUAUUUUUCACAGACGCCAUUUUCUUUGCUCGCGAUGCGGAGCAUAUUAGGACGGAAAACGGCGAUAUAAAGUGUUUAAUCCUACUCACAAAGUGUGUUUUGUAAUAUCAUAUCGUUUUAUAAUUAUGUGUUCAAUGUGUUGGGUGCGGCUAAAAACGUUUAUCAAUGGCAUUUCCUUUCACUCGCGAUGCGGAACAGACGAGGACUUUUCUAAAAGGGAAUAUCCGAAAAGAGAUAUUUUCUUUCUCUCGCGGUGCGAGCAGACGGGGAAGUUGGUUUUAACAAGGAAAACGCUGAAAAGAGAUAUUUUCGUUCACUCGUGAUGCUCCGGAGCAGAUGAGGAAGUUGGUUUUAACGAGGAAAACGCCAAAAAUGGUUCAUGCUGGCUUAACAGAAAAAUCAAAAGAAGAUGAUGUGCUUGAAGAGUAUGAAGCCACCAAUACAUGGGAGUCGUCCAACCUCAGUGCAGAGAGAUCAAUGUGCACUUGGAAUUGUGACUUUGUCUCUGAAAAAGACCCAUUUUCUAGGGCAGUUUUGUGAUGCUGUAAAUAGGAGUGGAUAUCUUGCUUGGCUGAAAACUGCAGAGAAACGCAUCUCAUCGUGCUGAAAAAAAGAAUGAGAGUAUUCACUCCAAGGAGGUCCAAACACCAGCACAGACUUUGAUUAGUGAGCAUUAACAUGCAUUCAGCUUUUAUGGUAAUGAAUGGAAUGCUGUUGUUUAACCUCCUAAAUGUCAGCAUUAUAAACCUUAUGAAUGGACCAAAUAAGAAUGUUUUUUGUGUUUUUGCACUGAUUUGCUUCUACAUUAUGAUGUUUAAUUGUUGUAAGAACAUGUUCUUUACAUGUAUUGAAAACAUUGAGUGUGAAGACAUUUUGGUGUAGGGAAAAAAUAUUUACAAUGUUUCAAUAAAAUAAAUAAAUGUA